GAAUAUGAAGCGAUUAAUUGCAGUUAGUUUCGACCUAACCUUAGGUUUUUAAAACCCUUAUUCU
rnacentral:tRNA from 1 species